ACUCCAUCCUGAUGACUUUGGCAUUUGUGUGAAACCACAGAGUGGUAGAUGCAAGAGGCAGGAUUGCAAGCUCUGAAGUUGUGGCAGCUUCUGGAGUCUUUCCACUCUGGUUGUGGAAAACCCUGGUCUAAUGAGGCUGCACAAGACCAAAUGCAUCCCCCAUCUUGGUCCCCUGGGUCAUCAGAGCACUUCUUUGCUUUGUUCCUCCUGAUGUUUAAUCCAACCUGCUGUGCAAAGGAGGCUGCUCUAAUUGUGUUUGCUUCCUACACAAAUUUCUGGGGUAAACAAAGGUUUUGCCACACUUUUCACUAUGCUAGAAGUUUUAUCAAAACACUUCCUCAACUAAUGACUUUUUCUCCCCCAAAAAUUUGGGUCCAGCUGUUCAUUUAACAAAUAACGGUGUUGCUCUUUUCUUUUAGCACCCUCUAAUAAACCAAGAGUAAAUUACUGACUGACCUACUUACUGGGAUUGUUUAAAUAAUCCUCAAUAUGGCAGUAUAAUUUGAUGCCUUAAAAUACAGGGCAUACAAGCUGCAAUUUGAAAGAAGAAAUACUGGAUGUUAAUACAAGUGGGUAACAUAAUAGCCUGAGGAAUAUUAUGUUUCAUAUCUAAGGUUCCCCUCCCUUCAGCAACAGCAUUUUGUUCUCCCCUCUUGUACAUGAACUAAUUCCUGAAUUUCUGAAUGAAUAUUUCACCCAUCUCUGAAUGGUCUGGAGCUAAAUUAAGAGAUGUGUUUUCUAUCUUUAAUAGGUAGGAUGUUUAGAAGGGAGAACAAAACACACGCUUGCAUUAUACCAUCUCUUGCUUUGGGCAUUCCUUGUGCAUCUCUGAGCAUUUAUCAGUGAUAGCCCAUUUAAAGAAGAAGAAAAAUAUUUCAGGAGCAGGGGGAAUCACUAAGAUACUAAAUUUUCCUUCUUAAAAAGGUGAUGGAAAUGUUUCAAAGUCAACAGUCAGGCAGUUAUCUUCCUGAUUUAGCAAAAUAUUGUACUUUAUUCUACCUAAAAAGCAUUUUGUGUUACAGAUUCAUGCUUUAGCACUGACUCUCAAUUUCAUUAGAUCCAGAAUGUGUAUAAGUUAUAAGUCUAUAACCAUAUUUAUCUGUUGGGGAUUAUUUCACAGAAUCACAGAAUGGGUCAGGUUGGAAGAGACCACAGUGCUGUGAUCCAACUUCCCUGUUCAAGCAGGGCCAUCCUAGAGCAUAGAGCACAGGAUUGUGUCCAGUUAGAUCCUGAAUAUCUCCAGUUAGGGACAUUCCACACCCCCUCUGGGCAAUCCAGUGCACGAUCACCCACACAGUAAAGAAGUUCUUCCUUGUGUUCAGAUGAAACUUCCUGUGCAUCAGUUUCUGCCCACUGCUUCUUGUUCUAUUGCUUGGCUCCCUCCUCUUGGUACCCUCACU
rnacentral:lncRNA from 1 species